UCAUACUAUUGGUGUUCAUGUAGCAGGAGGUGAUGUGCUUGACAAAGCAAGGGCAAAGAGCACAAAGCCCUUCUUUGGCAAGAGAUGCUCUGGCCUCGUCUGAGGCUGUUUAGAACAUAAAGGUGGGUUCUUUCUACCAAAUUGACCACUCCAAGCUCCCUCCCAAGACCCCGGAGCAGCUCUAAUCCACUAGGGUGGCGAUGGCAUCAAAAGAAAGUUGCUAACUGGAUUUACGGAGGUGAGUGAGAAGGCUGGGUGAAACGUUUGAUUGAGGUUCCAAAGCAUUCAUUCCCUUCGCACCCAUUUCAACGAAGGGAAAAAGCUGCCAGCAUGGCACCUGAGGUGCUUGUCAGGAGAAUGCCAUCUCAGGAAAUUGCUGAAGACGGGAACUUGUGGAGCUUCUGGGCAUCACGAGCUUUGGUAGUGGAGAGAAAUGGCAACGAAGACGUGGUUUCUACGAAUCUGAGCUUAACUUCACUGGUAUGGUUCGGUGGGGCAAGCGCCGGAGAGUCCGCUUCCUUGAUCGCCAUAAUGAGUACAAGCUCGGUGUUUUAGCAAGCACUGCCAAUGAUGAUGAUGACGAUGACGAUAACUAGGCAAAGAAAGAAGAGGAGGAAGAUCAGAAAGAGAAAGAGGAAGAAGUAUAGGAGGGAAGAGGGUCAUGUGAAGCAAGAGACCGACAUAUUUGCGGUUAAGAACCGUCGCUCUAGUAAGAGAAAGUGCCAUGGUAAGAACAGCAAGACUGAUAAUUUGAAAAAAGCAAAGAGUGAUAAGAAACAAAAUAAAAAACUUCUGAGUCGGAGAAAGAAAAUGGCUUUGAGAAACUCGAUAUAGAGAUGGUCUACUGCAAGCUGAGGACUAUCUUUUAAUUAGUUUCUUCAAAUUUCACUGAUUUUGCUCUUCAUUUUUCCUUGCUAAUGGUCCUUGGUGAUUGAAUCUGUGGAAGUACAAAUUGGCUGAGGGGAACAUGUUGAAGAUUAUGAAGGCAAAAGGUGCUGUGUUUGGGAACCCAAUACUAAGGCCAGUCUUGAGAACUGAGGCACGCAAGCUGAUUGGAGACACGGAGUUGCUAGAUCCCAUUUACUGAAGCACAAGUACGAAAAGGUGGCACCUCCGGCAUAAUUCUGAUGAGGCCACGGAGUACUGGAUAGAAAGUGCUGAUUUGGUUAACGUUAGGAUUGAGGCUGGGGUGCAGGACCCUUAUUGGACGCCUUCAGCUGGAUGGAAGCCAGGUGAUAAUCCCACAAAGGAUCUUGUUUGUGUAAGAGAGAUUGAGACUCAAGAAAGAGACGGUCAAUAUCAAAAAGAUUUUCCAGGAACUCAUUUUGAAAAAGGAAGACUGAGGAGCAUGAUUCCACGAGAGAACUUAAGCAGCUUAGAGAACAAAUGGUCAAGAUGAAGAAGAAUAUGGAGGAGCUCGCCUUCAAGAAGCCAGUGGAGGCAAACCGAAAUUCUAAGUCCAGUGUAAAAUUUGACCAGGAAGGCUCUUUACUCCUAGUGAAGAAAAUGCGCAUAGAGUUGGUGAAAAGAAAUCAAAUGUUGGUAAGCGGCUGGUGGAAAUUCCUGAUUAUUUGAGUAAAAUGGAGUGCAUGGUUAAUGCUAGCACGGAGGAACGAAUAGGGAUGUUAAAAUCAGGGUGAAAUCUGUCAGUCAGAAGCUCCACCACCAGCAUCACCAUCAGACUCUGAGACAAGCGAAAGGAAAGAUAAGGACAACAAAAAAGAACAAAUCAAUAACGAAAUCAGGUAAUCAGGGAGAGGACAAACCAGCAAAUACUGUGACAAAGGAUAAGGCAACAAGAAUACAAAGGACAAAAGAGUGGUUUCAGGAUUUGCAAGCCACAAGGGACCCUCCUGUGGCCAAAUAUGGCUACUCACACUCAGGCUGUGGUCCAACCUGAUGACCAUGGCCCUCUUGUGGUACCGACACCAUAUAAACUACACCCUUAAUGAGCAAAACAACAAAAAUGGACAUUAUGAGAGUCUAACGUCCACCAAAGAAAACACAUUAAUGUUGCUGUUAUAACAAAAGUGAGUACUUCCAAUUUAUAAUUGUUCCUAUCUUUUUAUGUUUUCUUAACUUCGAUAAAUGGCACUCUUUUUUCUUGUCUCUACACGGUUGGUGCCAACUAAGGAGAGAGGGAGCUUUAGGCAAAGAAACUGGCAUGAACUACUAUGAGUUUGAGGAGCAACAGUAAAGGGAAUGCUCCUCCGCUGCUCACGACCCAGCUUUUCACAACUCCAAACGGGGUUGAUCAUGGUUCACUGAGUUCCAAACUUGUGGAGGAACAGGCAUUAUUAUAGUACUGGGAUUUACGUGCCAAGUGCACUUCAGAAAAAGUUCAAAGAGCAAAUUAGGAUUCACAGUCCUAGAUCAAAAGCAUGGAGGGAAGCUCGAGUGAUUAAUGAUGAAGCGGCAAAGCAUGGCAUAUGGAGGUAAUGUCCUGGACUAAGCAAGGGCAAAGAGCACAAAGCCCUUUUUUGGCAAGACAUGCUUUGGCCUCAUCUUAGGCUGUAGUUCAUACAAAGGUGUGAUCUUUCUAUAAAAUUGACCACUCCAAGCUCCCUCCCAAUUACCCCUCCAUUAGAGUACGUGGUCAUGGUGAGUGAAAAGGCUAGGUCAAACGCUUCAUUGACGUUCCCGAGCGUUCAUUCCCUUCGCAACCUAAGGGUGUUCAUCGGUUAAAAACCGACAAUUUCAGUCGGUUUCAAAACCGAACCAACAAUGUCGGUUUUUGAAAAUUUAAAACCGAAACCGAACUGAAGAACAAUGUCUUCAGUCAGUUAACCAACCGAUUUUUAUCAGUU